rnacentral:misc_RNA from 1 species
GAUGAAGAACGCAGCGAAAUGCGAUAAGUAAUGUGAAUUGCAGAAUUCAGUGAAUCAUCGAAUCUUUGAACGCACAUUGCGCCCCUUGGUAUUCCGAGGGGCAUGCCUGUUCGAGCGUCAUUAUAACCCCUCAAGCUCAGCUUGGUGUUGGGGCCUGCCGCACGGGCAGCCCUUAAAUCAGUGGCGGUGCCAUCUGGCUCUAAGCGUAGUAAUUCUUCUCGCUAUAGAGUCCCGGUGGAUGCUUGCCAUUAACCCCCAAUUUUCUAUGGUUGACCUCGGAUCAGGUAGGGAUACCCGCUGAACUUAAGCAUAUCAAUAAGCGGAGGA